rnacentral:lncRNA from 1 species
GAGCCCAGCUGGGGUGGUAAAUAGAGUACAGUACAAAAGCGGAAGGGGCAGGCCUAGAAGCUGAAAGAAAAGCUCGAUAAUGGGGAAACAGUGUUUUUUCCUUCAAUUAAUGAUUAAUUUCUCAGCUGGUGGGGCCAGCAGUCUCUGACCGUCACGUGACAGCUAUGCGCCCCAUGACGCCUCUCCAGGGAGGCAGAGUGGGUGGCACUGAGGUGGAGCUCACCUUCCUGAAAUUCAGCCCCCUCAGUUUGGAGGAAGGAGGUAAACUGUUUCCUGUCCAGCCAGAAGUUUGCGGAGGGCCUUCCCCAGGCCAGGCAAUGCUGCCUGCGACUCUGUCCCUGACAGCGUUGGAUGCACCGUAUCUCUUCUGAUAUUAAGUCUGGAAGUGAUUUACUAUCCGAGUCCUCCCACAGUUCGAGCCUUUUGAUGUACUUUGUGUGCAUGUGUUUCUGUCACAUACGUGCCACAGUGGAACAGAUUUUGUUUUGACACUAUUUUGGUUCAUGAUGUUAUACUUUGACUAUUUUACAAUAAUAGCCAAUGUAAACAAACAUCUUUGGGAUUCUCAAAUUAUUACUUAUGAUUCUUGGACAUUGCAGCUCUUCGAUACUGACGCAUUCCUAGCUUUUUCCAAGGACACCGUAUGUUAACAUCCGUGCCAGCCUCAUUAUCCCCACAGCCAGGCUCUGGGUUGGGCGGUAAUGAGCAUUGUGCGGUUUCACUUUACACUUUGCAAAGUUGAUUAAGGCAGUGCCUUCUCCCAUGAUCAUUUUUGUACCCUGAUGUAGUAAAAUGGCUAAAUAUGGUGAAAGUUUUCUGGUGUUUCUUUCUUUAGCUGCCAUGUCAGAGUCCAGUCUGCCUGGCUGUGUUGAAUUCGAUUCUAUUGGCACGCUACCCAGUUUUACAUUCAUUUAAAGAUCAUUUAAAGGGGAUUACGAAGCUGUAUAAGUUAAUGAUUUAAACGAGGCCUAAGUUACUAGUGUGUCUGUUUCAGCACGCCCAAUAUGAAAUCACCUUAAAAAUUGCUUUCGUGGGGGAAAAUCGUGUCGGAGCAUUUUCCAAGUGGGUUUAAAGGCAAGUCAAAAUCUGUCAAUUGGUGGCUUGGGUGGGUUUGCAUUUGAGGCCUCCAAAGUUCAAACGGCCCCAGCUAGAGGGAGGGCUAGAUCCGCGGGCGGUGGGAAGGUGUGCAGGGCUUCCGCUGGUGGGUGUUGGUGCGGUUCCCCUCGACUCCCCACCGGGACGCCCCCACCCCGUGGCAGCGACAGACCGGCCCGUAAGGUCCCCCAGCCUGGCUCCAGGACUCACUCACUCCGCCUCUAGGGCAGGCCCCGCGGCGGCUCUCGCGUCCGGGCCCCUCGCGGUAAUCAGAAGCAGCUCCGGGCCGGGAGCUCCGCGCUGGCCAGGCCGCCUUUGCCACCCCCGCGUGAUGCGCCGGGGGGCGGGAGGAGCCUGCGGGGGCGGGGGGCGCGUCUCAAGGUCCUCCCUGCACAUCUGGCGCAAUGGGGAGCGUUCGCCUUUCUUUCCCGGGUUUUGUUCUCACAGCUGUGUCCAUUCCGCCCGUGACCCCGCGAGUGAUCCCUGACAGGUGAUGAAUUGGCGGCGGCGGUGGCGGCGGCGGCGGCGCGCGGGCCAGGCCGCGGCGGGGCCGGAGCCGGAGCCCCGGAGCAGACUCUCUGGCGCCAGGCGCGUGACGCCGCCCAUUCACGCCGCCCUGCAGCCUUGUCCUCGCGGCGCCGCUCAGGCGGCUGCCAUGGCAACCGCGCCGUCACUCAGCGCGCGCGCCCAGCUGAUCAAUGCCUGCGAGGCCCGGCAGUCCCAGGCUCGCCCAGGCCCGGCCGCCGGCCCGCGCGCACCUGCAGACGCUGCACGUCUUAAGUUUCGAGUGAUUUGGGGAAGGAAAGAGGACCGAGAAGAAAAGAAAAGGGCUCGGGGGGGGGGGGGGGUGGGCGGGUGAGGGGCGGAGGAGAGGACGAAGGAAAAAAGCCGGGAGAGGGAGAAGAAAGAAAUCUUCCUUUUGCAAAAGGAGGCAUAAUGUGGCUUAGAGGUUGCCAAAGCAAAAGGUUUUGCUUUAUUUUGUUUUUGCAACCGAGGCGUUCAGGGUGGGGCUGGCGCGAGGGAAGGGUGGAUGGGGAGAAGGUCACUGUCUUAGCACAUGGCGAGAUUUAUUUACUCCUUUGGAUUAUUUCGGUUUCUCGCCGAAUGGCUUUGAUCCUGGAUUCCUAAAAAUACCUUUGAAAGAUUGAAAGACUCGCCCCGCCCCCCCAACCUCCACACCGUCUUACUGCCUAACUCCUCGGAACCCUCGGAGGUUGCGCAUAAACAAUUUUUUCUUCCAGAACGGCCCCCCUCUCCGCCCUGGGGGAGCCGGGAGGAUGUGCAGCCCCAGUCCUCCUGCUCGGCGGAGCCUCGCGCGCGCAGAGCCUAGCGCGAUUCGCGCCCUCAUUACUACUACAAAGCGCGGGCCAGACCAAUCCCCUUUCUAAUGCACCAUUUUCGACUGAGAACAUCAAGAGGCCAGAAACUUCCAAGUCAGCUUGCAGACGCAGACGCCUCCUGGGGUCCUGGCUUUAAGAACCAGAUGCCAACACUCCCGGACAGUUUAUGGCAUCCGGAUCCCUCAAGGGUGCUCAUCUGCAGUUGAGAGUCUAAUAAAUGGCAUUAACAAAGCGUUUCAGCGACUACCACGGCUUCACAGUGGCUCCUCCCCUGCCCUGCCACCAUUCAGGCUGUAAUUCCUUCCAGGAUUCCCGCACCAUCCUGUGUGCCCAGAGCUCUCUAGAGCACCAGGUAGAACUCCGUGCUAAAUCCAAUUGCUUGCAAUCUUCUGAUCCCCUUUUAGGGAGAUCACUUUUCAGCUUGGUUCAAAGAAAGCAAAGUUUGGGAAGUUUGGCGGAGGGGCCGACUUAACUACGGGCACUGCAAAUAUUUUGUUACAAAUGCUGUGAAGUGCCCCGAUUUGUGGCUGCGUUAGCUUUCACAAAGGAUUUUCCUGUGUCUUUUGUUCCGAUCACCAAAUUAAAAGAGAAAAUUAACUUGAGUGAGAGAUAAGGUCUUGGAAAACAAUCUUGGGCCGCCCGCGAGCUGGCGGGAGCGGGGCUGGCGUCGCCUUGUCUGCGCCGCCCCGAGGCGCGAGUCUUGGGGUCCGGCCACCGCAGGGAGCCUAGGUCAUGCAGGGACCCCCCCCUCCAUCCGCUGUGCACCCUCGCGCCACAGCGCAGCACCCAGGCCACCCCCCCUCUGCCCACCAGCGUCCGUGGGAAUCCGCCCCAGCCAGCGACAAGGACGGACUUGUCCGGAAUCAAACUGCAUCUUAAUAUUAUAAUGCGGCACCAAAAGCAAAACCCGAGGCCCCGGCUUGCAGUCCCUAACAAGAAACACAUUGUGUGCACUUUUUCUUUUUUGGCUCAAGCCACGUUCGCGCGCCGGCCCCUCCGCAGCGAGCCAAGUCCAUGACUUCAGUGAGGAGGAACCCGCCUGCCUCGCACCACGUGCGCUCCCAGCUGGGGCAGCCGCCCUGUGAGCCCUGUCCCGGUCCCUGGGACGGGCUAGGGCCUGGCCGGGACGCGCUUGUCCUGGGCACAGGACAAGGGCUUUGGGGCACAGCCCUUUCUCGGCCGGGGAGGCAGGCGAACCGAUCGCCCGGGCACUGGUGUUACCCAGGCGGCGCCAGCGCGAGUUGGCUGGUGGACAGGUUUUUCAAUAGUUUGAACUCCUUCUUCCCCUUGCCGCAUCUUUAAGGCGUUUACUCCCAGAUUCAGCCCUCUCCUCAUAAUAAUGACAGUUUGCAGACUUUUCCUUUCCAGUUAGAGUGCGUGCGCGGGUCCUGCAAGAUCCCAGCCGCGCGUCACCGCGAACCAUUCUGCGGGAGGGGCAGGACCUAAGGCUGCAUCUCCAGGAGGGAACGUGGAGACACCGCGGGCGGAGGGGACCUGGAGGAGUUCCUGGAGGAGCAGUCCUAGGCACGGGGCGAAGGAUUUGCGCUCUAGCUGGUGGAGCGCACAUCGCCCUGGUUAGCUCUGCGGUGGGUCCUGGGCUCAUCCCGGCCUCUUCCUGCCUCCGCUGACAUCAGGGCCUCUCCUGUUUAGUCCUAGGCCUGCCCUUCAUCAGGACUCCGCAGAAAAGGAUGGGUAAAUUAAGGCAUACAUUUAAUUUUAACCAUCAUGCCUGACUUUCUAGGAUUCUGUGUGAAGAAUACAGAGACAGACGUUCCAUUUCAAAGAAAAAAGAGCAACACGAAGGCCCUCUUUAAGGAGAGAGUAAACAUUCACUUUAGGUAAAAAAUAGUCUUUUACACGCCUGUGCACGGCACACCUCUUUUGCUGUUCACCUUGAGCCCAAGAGUUUGGAAAGGCUGCCCCCAUUUCAGAGAGGAAGAAACGCAGGCACACGUGAAUGACAGACUCCUCUGUGGUGGCCUAGACUCCAGCCAACACUUCCUAGGACAGCCUGCCAUUGUGCAAAGUCACCAUGUAACAAAUGCAGACAUCUCUGAGAUCACCAUGCAGUGAGGAAGUCUAAGCUGGUGGCAUGAAGAGGCCACAUGGAAAGGGCUAAAAAAGGGGCCAGCCUCAGUCAUCCCAGCUGAGCACCUGGCUGGGAAUAAAAGAGGACUCCGUGGAUGUCCAGCCCAGUAAGAUGACCUCAGCCCCAGCCACCAACUGACCAAGCACACAAGACAUCGUGAGGCUGCCUGCUGGAGCCUGGCCAGUGGGACUGUAGAGUAACUCAUUGUCGUGCAGGAACUCCUGGGAUGGUGUUGCCCAGUGACACAAUCCCAGUGUGGCCAUUUCUGAUCCCGAGAAAGCAGUCAGGAGUGGGUGGAUGCAGUUACAGUUCAUCAAGUCCUGCUAGUUCAAGUCAUGAGUCCUGAAUUCUCCAGGAGGAGCCACUAAAGAAAUGCAGAAGCAGGCAAUCCUUGCAAUAAGGCCAGCAAACUGCCAGUGUGAAGGAUGCCCAGGUAACCUGCCCAUGCCAGAACGGCCAGGAGAUGGUGGAACCAGAAUCUAAGCCCACGCCCAUCUGACCUCAAAGUCUGUGCUCCUGAGGUUCGCACCGAGUUGCCUCCUAAGACUUGCUGAAACUGGAUCACGUCCAUUUACCCAUCUCUGAGAGAAAUGCAAGCUUUAAAAAAGGAAAUAUUUACUAUGGAUAUUUUACAAUAGUUCCAAAACAUGAAAGUUUUAAAUAAGAUAUUCUUAACCAUCCUCACCACAUCUUCAGGUUCCCUUACAGCCACUGUGUUUUGACGAUUGCCCAUUAGAAAAAAAGACUAUGCUUUCUGUAGGUUUUAAAGGAAUGGUGGUGAAAUAAGGAGCAUUCCCUGAGCAGAUCUUGCCUGCGGGCACACCUCUGAGCAUUGGACCAGGCGAGAAGAGCCCAUGUGUUGGCUGCUUUGGGAUCCCAGCACUGCCAAUGGCAGGUGGGCUGUGGCCCAGGGAGAGAACCUAGCCUUUUGCAUUCUCUUGCCCCAUUUGAAAAUGGAGACGAUAGUGGCGCCCCGCUCAGUGUUAUUUUGAGGAUUUGAAUGUAUCUCAGAUGUAGUACCUGGAAAAAUAUAAGUGCUCAGUAAAUACGGUUGCCAGAUAAAAUGCAGGAAACCUAUUUAAAUUUAAGUUUUGGCUGGACAAUGAAUAGAAUAAUUUUUCUUAGUAUGAGUAUGUCCUUAUAUUUCAUCUGCUAAAUUUAGCAACCUCCUCAGUAAACGAUCACUACAAUUGCAGAAACGCCUUAUGACAGAUAUAGUAAAUCUGUAAAGAAAUAGGAACUUGCAUUUAUUUUUACUAAGCUCUGACUGGUUAAGAUAACUGGGCAAGAGAAGAUAUCUUCGACUAAACUUGCAGCACAUAGAGUAUAGAGAUUCAAAUUUGAAGUCCUAUAGGACUAGAAUGGCCAGAGGUGAACUGUAGCGAGCUUAUCUAAAGAGGACCAAUUUCAAAAGUUCCUCAGAGACUUAAAUGGGCCCACAGACCCCUCCUGUGUCUUUGCAUAAGCCAGCUCGUUAUAUCAGUUAUAAGUUGAUUUCCAGAGAAAUGUACCCUGGAGAUCCCUCUCCCACUUGAAAUAGGACUGGCCAAUCCAGAUGUCCCCCAGGUGAUGUUGGCUCAAAUGGAGCUCCAUAUAUUGGAGAAUCUAUUCAAGAAAACAAGCAAAAGUAUUUGUGACUGAGUUAGCUAAUGCCAGCUGGUAUCUUGAACAAACCCAGAUCUCUAACAUGCUAGUUUAUUUCGUAGUGUAAAAUGUGUGUUACUGAUGGGCAGACAGCUCUCAUUCAAGCAGUGACAGAUGUAAGCUCUUCCCAUUUUUGUGGCCCCAUUGUAUUCGGCGUGUGGCUUCCAAGUUGCCUGGGAUCAUCUCCACCCAGACUAAGGAAGAGGAAAGAGCUUGGACAACUGCACUUGGCUGGUUUUUAUGGAUCAGGCAAGGAAUUGGCUCCAACACAUUAGCUCACAUUCCAUUGGUUAGAACUGGGUUUCUCAACUAUUAGUACAGGGUGAGUGUAGGGUUUUGGCACCAUGGGCAUUUGAGCUGGCCAAAGGCUAAUCAGAGUUAGAACAAAGCCACAAAGCCUGUGAAUGGUGUUUAUUGUUGUGAGGAGCUGUCUUGUGCAUUGUGGAAUGUUCAGCAGGAUGCUCUCUGGCCUCAGAGACUCACUAGAUUCCCAUAGAACUCUCCUCUCUCCUCUAGUUGUGACAACCACAGUUGCCUCCUCUCCAGACAUUGCUAGAUGUCCCCGGGAGGCAAAAUUGUCCUGGUUGAGAACCACUGUGUUAGAACUCGGUCACAUGGCCAUACCUAACUGCAAGGGAGGGGGCUGGAAGAUCUAGACGAGUAGUAUGCCAGGAAGAAAAUAGAACUGAUUUAGAGGCUGCUGGCCAGUCACUUUCAGUGACCUUCAGCAUACUUAUUCCUCUGCAGCUGUCAGGACACUCAUGCCUGUUUCUGAGAUGUUUCCUGUGUGAGGGGACAUAGUGACUAUUGGAGGGGUGACAUGUUGGACUUGGGUAGGGUGAAGAGGAUUGGAAACCACCAUCAUGUUUGGCAGCAUUGAAUGUUUAUGACUAUUUGAAUAGUUGUGACAAGGGUACAGUGAAGGAGGAAGUAACCAUUUUUGAAUACCCUUUUACAAUUUGCAAAGCACUUUUAAAGGUAAGAGUGAGUUCCUAGACCAUAUUAGGGUGAGAAUGGACAUUGUUGGCUGCCAUAUCAUUGGGCAGGGGCUUUGAGAUUUUUGUCUUCAGAAGGCAGAUUAGAUUUGGAGUAGAAGGAGAAAUGUAAAGACCUGGUAUCUGAGUGUGUUUGCAGAGGGGAAUUGUCGUUUGGAAGCACAAGAAAGGGAAUGGCCCGUUGGCACAUAUGGUACAUUGUGUUUUCAUAUAAUUAUACCUGAAUGAAAGCAAGAGGAAACGUGUAGGAAGCUGUUUACAUAGUCCUUUUAAUAAUGUUUACAUGAGUUAAUGAACAUGCAAACGUAUCUGAUGAAAACAUGUCAGUAGUGAAACAGCCUUGUGAAGAAUCAGAUCUUACCUCAGGCUGGAAAAAAGGACUGGUUUUCCAAGCUCACAAAUUGCAGCCAGUGUGAAUAGUAGCACAAAUGACUGAGCUUUAAGACAUCCAUCCAUCCAUCUAUCCAUCCCCUCAUCCAUCCAUCCCCUCAUCCAUCCACCCAUCCAUCCAUCCCUUCAUCCAUCACUCCAUCCAGCCAUCCGUCCCUUCAUCAAUCCAUCCAUCCCUUCAUCCAUCCAUCCAUCCUUCCUUCCAUUCAUCCCUUCAUCCAUCCGUCCAUCCAUCCAUCCAUCCACUCAUUCAUCCCUUCAUCCAUCCAUCCAUCCAUCCUUCCUUCCUUCCAUUCAUCCCUUCAUCCAUCCGUCCAUCCAUCCAUCCACCCAUUCAUCCAUCCAUUCCUUCAUCAACUCAUCCCUUCAUCCAUCGUCUACCAUUCAUUCACCCCUUCAUCCAUCCAUUCAUUUAUCCAUCCGUCCAUUUACUUCCAUCCAUCCCUUUAUCCAUCCAUUCACCCAUUCAUCCCUUUAUCCAUAUGUCCAUUCCUCCAUCCAUCCAUCCAUCCAUUUACUCUUCAUCCCUUCAUCCAUUUUUCCAUCCAUUCAUCCAUUCAUCUUUUCAUCCAUCCAUCCAUUGAUCUAUCCAUCCAUCCAUUGCUCCAUCCAACCAUCCAUCCAUCCCUUCGUCCCUUCAUCCAUCCAUCCAUUCAUCCCAUCAUCCAUUGAUCACUUCAUCCAUCCAUCCUUCCAUCCUUCCAUCCAUUCUUCCAUUCAUCCAUCCAUGUGUUCAGCAAGUAUUUACUGAAUGCCUAUUAUGUGCCAAGCACUCUCCUCAGAACUUAGGAAAUACCAGGAAACAAAAUCAACAACAAUCCCUCACCACCUGGAUAUUACAUUUUGGUGGGAAGAGACAAAGAAAUAAAAUUGGUGAGUGAAUCACAUAGGUUAUUAGAAGGUGAUAAAGGUGUAGGUGAUAAAGGAGAAGUGCCAGGAGCAAGGAUUGGGUACAGUUGUGAAUAAGGUGGCCCCAAUAGGUUGCACUGAGAAGGUGACAUUUGCACAGAGACUUGAAGAAAGGAAGGAGAGAACAUGACUGUACCUGGGUAACAGCAUUUGUGGAAGAGGGAACAGCCAGUGUAAAAGUUCCAAGGCAUGAGUGCCUGGUACAUACAUGGAACAUCGAGGCCAGGGUGGCAGAAACGCGGUGAGUCCAGGAAGGGAAUAGGAACUAAGUGUAGGAAGGUGUACAGUGGGGUGGUGUGGGGGUGGAAUUGUGGCAGCCAGAUGGUGUUGGCCUAAGGCCUCUUGGCCCUUGUUAGGACUUGGUUUACCAUGGCGCAACACAUCCAUGAGAUUGGCAAAAAUUAAAAAGUCUGACAACAGAAAAUCUGGUAAUCUGGUGAGGAUGUGGAGCAGUGGGAAUUCUCCAAUACUGCCAGGGAGCAUGGGCAUCAAUCCCACCACACUGGAAUGCAAAGGGGCAUUCUGAGUAGAACUGAAGAUGUGCCCAUCCUUGACCCCACAGUUCCAGCCAUGGGCAUGCGCAUGAAUGUGCACACGUGUUGACUGCGGCAUUUGUUUGUCAUUAUGAAAACAUCUAAGUUUCCAUCUAUGGGAGAGGGGAUAAUGUGGGAGUGCCCAACAGUGGAGUUCUAGAGAGCAGUAAAAAUAAAUGGACUAGAGCUGCACACGUCAAAAUGGAUGAAGAUAAAAGACAUAAGGAUGGAAGAAGACCACCUGGCCACAGAAGUAUAUGUCCAAUAUGAUGCUGGUGUAUCCAGAGUGUUCAAACAAACAACACAACACUACUCAUUGUUUCCAACGUGAGUAUGAAAGUAUGGAGCAGUGCGGAGGGCCAGGAGUGCUGAAUCCACAUGGUUACUUCUCCAGGCGGGGGCCGAGGACCAGGGCUGGAGGUUUACUCCAGGAGCUUCAGUGGUGCAUGCUGAAUGUGCUGUUUCUUGGGCUGGGGGACAGAGAUGUGCAUGCUGUUAUACACUCUAUAUUGAAAUGAUUGUAUAACAAUAUACUAAUUUAUCAUGUAAUAAAUUUGACCAGAAAGAAACAA